CAGCAGCUGGGCCCCAGUGUCACAGCCGGCGACCCUGCCCUCUCAUCUGUGGGGCCAGGCCACAGCUCUCACUGCCUGCUGCCUUCCGAUUUCCUGGUUCCUUGGGUCCCUCUGUCCUCUGCCAGCGCUCAGAGGGCUCCUGGCCUAACCGACCCUACUGCCUGCUGCCUCGGCCUGGCCCCUCCCAGGGGCACAUUUGGAUGGGAGGGCGGGAGAUUCAACCAACUGCAGAUCGAAGAGAUUCGGGGGAAAUUGCACCUGCACCGAAUGCAUAGAGACCUUUUUCCUUGUCGUUAUUCGCCGAACGUAUGAAAUUCUAGAACUAGCUUCAUCAUUAUAGAGGCUGAGGCAGAAGGAUCUCCACAAGUUUGUGGCCAACCAGGGCUACAUAGUGA